UACGUAGGGGGCAAGCGUUGUCCGGAAUCAUUGGGCGUAAAGCGCGUGUAGGCGGCUGAGCAAGUCCGCUCUGAAAGCCCGAGGCUCAACCUCGGGAGGCGAGUGGAUACCGCUCAGCUCGAGUCCGGAAGAGGAGUGUGGAAUUCCUGGUGUAGCGGUGAAAUGCGCAGAUAUCGGGAAGAACACCCGUGGCGAAGGCGGCUCUCUGGGACGGUACUGACGCUGAGACGCGAAAGCGUGGGGAGCGAACAGG
rnacentral:rRNA from 1 species